rnacentral:rRNA from 1 species
UUGGGCGUAAAGUGUGUUCCGGCUGUCUAAAAAGAUUUAUAUUAAAUCUUUGAGUUCAACUCAAAAAAUGUAUAGAUUACUGUUAGGCUUGAGUUUAAUAUAAGAAAAUGGAAUUUUGUGUGUAGCGGUGAAAUGUGCAGAUAUACAAAGGAACGCCGAAGGCGAAAGCAUUUUUCUUGGUUAAAACUGACGCUUAUACACGAAAGCGUGGGUAGCAAACAGGAUUAGAUACCCUGGUAGUCCACGCCCUAAACUAUGUCGAUUAGCUGUUUUUUAGUAGCGAAGCUAACGCGUUAAAUCGACCGCCUGGGAACUACGAUCGCAAGAUUAAAACUCAAAGGAAUUGACGGGGACCAGCACAAGCGGUGGAUGAUGUGGAUUAAUUCGAUGAUACACGAAAAACCUUACCUACUCUUGACAUGGUUAGAGUUUUAUUGAAAAAUAAAAGUGCUUGAAAAAGAACUAACACACAGGUGCUGCAUGGCUGUUGUCAGCUCGUGUCGUGAGAUGUUGGGUUAAGUCCCGCAACGAGCGCAACCCCCACUCUUAGUUGCUAAAUUUUAAGAACUUUAAGAGAACUGCCGACGAUAAGUCUAGGAGGAAGGAGGGGAAGACUUCAAGUCCUCAUGGCCCUUAUGAGUAGGGCUUCACACGUCAUACAAUGGUUGACACAAUAAGUUGCAAAAUUGCGAAAUAGAGCCAAUCUCAAAAAUCAAUCUUAGUUCGGAUUGCACUCUGCAACUCGAGUGCAUGAAGUUGGAAUCGCUAGUAAUCGCAGAUCAGCAUGCUGCGG